UCUCUAAGUUCUCUUCUCUAAGAGAACUCAUCCGUAAAAUACCUUCUCUCACAGUGAAGUCCCCUCUGAAUAUAAUUUUUAUUUGGAUCUGCUCACCUGUCUGUCCUCCAAUCGUAGCAAACAGCCUGUGGGGAAUUCUGGAUGGGAUCUUCAGUCCAGCUCUUAUCUGGCUUGGUGCUGUGACCAAUUCCCUGGGGAGCCUGUUCCAGUGCCCAAAAUACGAGCUGAAGUCUAAACAGAGAAAAGAACUCAUUCCAGUCUUCUCUCAUCACCACUUCCAUGGAUGAAGGAUAAGAGGCAGUGUACAGUACAUUGUACACAGUACCUUGUAGCUCAGGAUACCUUCACCUGUUUGCAGAUCUCCCACUGAACUGCUGUAACACCAUGUUGGUGUCAAUCUCCCGUUCUCUGCAUUUUCCCUUCUUUGGUUUCUUUGUUUAUGAAUUUGUCAUAUCUCACAAGCAUUUGCAGAUGUUUUUGGACUGAUUUUGU